GAUGAAGAACGUAGUGAAAUGCGAUAAGUAAUGUGAAUUGCAGAAUUCAGUGAAUCAUCGAAUCUUUGAACGCACAUUGCGCCCGCUAGUAUUCUGGCGGGCAUGCCUGUCCGAGCGUCAUUUCAACCCUCAAGCCCCCGGGCUUGGUGUUGGGGAUCGGCGAGCCUCCGCGCCCGCUGUCCCCUAAAUCUAGUGGCGGUCUCGCUGUAGCUUCCUCUGCGUAGUAGCACACCUCGCACUGGGAAACAGCGCGGCCACGCCGUUAAACCCCCAACUUCUGAACGUUUGACCUCGGAUCAGGUAGGAAUACCCGCUGAACUUAAGCAUAUCAAUAAGCGGAGGA
rnacentral:misc_RNA from 1 species